rnacentral:sRNA from 1 species
CGGCAUAUCAACAUUUCGCAUACACAUCAUUCUACGACGCAAGCAGGCAAAAGCAAGCAACACUACCCACUCCAAUCCCAUAUAACUGCAGAAGCAAACAAGAUUGUACAGCAAACUGAGAUUAGAAGCGAUCGAAAUCCUCCCUCAUCAUCGCUCAUCACUCAUCCACUCGACUGCCCGCCAAUAACCUCUCCGUCCUAUAGCUCUCAUACAACACCUCUCUCGUCCUCGUCUUCAACGCUUUUGAAUAGUUACCUAAAACCGCUUCUCUCAACGCGAGAAAAUCAGAAUGGGCAGGAUUCAAGGCCGAUGCUUCGCCCCAUGCGAAUUUGCGCAAAGACGACGAUCCAAAGCGAUCACUAUUAACGGUGUUAUGGUCAUCACUACUGGAACGGGAACUGGGCUCGGGAAUAAAGAUACCGAAUGGUAGAGGGAGAGAUGUACUGGAAAUGGGCAAAUGGGUCGAAUCUGGCGUUGGUGGGCGGUGGUCUCCUUGCUUAUCCACGUCGACGUCCAGGUCCAUGUUGGCAUCAUCUGGAUCUUCACCUUUUUCUCUAAUCGAAUCGUGCUGUUUCACGGGUCGGUCAAAUCAAAUAUCAGCUCUUGUCCUCUCAUCUUGGGUGGCAUAGCUCAAAAUAACUGACCUGGAGAGACUCAUCGUCCCCCGUUCGGAACACUCCAAACCCUUUCCCUGGCGUUCGUGCAAACGCAGCUGUCAAAUCCCUGUUCACCGCCGCCUUGACAUCUUCGAGUCCAUCGAUCGUCAAAGAAUCUGUAUGCGACAAAACAGGCAGGACAUUGGCUCGUUUUUCGAGUUGGCGAAUCUUUUUUUGUCCGCCGCAUGCAUCGUUAGCUGUGACAUGUAAGGAACAGAGAGUGAUGGAGCUUACAAUAUCAAUCUCGGCGGUCAGAAGUCGAGGCUCCAAACCACCUUUGGGAGUGUCUUUCCUUUCCGAAUCUAGCUCCUCACCUUGUUGACUUUUUGGCUCAUCGUCAAACAGUCCCAAGCAGGACCAAUCAACUUCUUUCGCUCUCGGUUCUUUCGGGUACAACACGUCCCUUGCGUCAAUGAGAUAAAUCACUACCAAAAUCAUUCUUCCAUUAGCCCUUCCUCUGCUCCGCACCAUCCGGAGAACGAUCCCACUUACCAAGAUGCACCAAACCUUCUUCCGCACCCACCCGCCUCCUCACCUUUCUCUCCUCCCUCAACGUAUACUCAAACCUCUCCUCCACAAUAUUCAACAAUCCCUUCACAUUCCUCUCAUUCUCCCCUUCCUUGGCUGCCACUUGGUCUUCUCCCAGGGAGAGAUCGAGCCCCGGCGUAUCAAUCACGCGGAGAAGAAGACGGUCAGAGAUGGUGGAGAGAACGGUGUAGGCCGUUGGUUUGGUUGUUGGUGCAGGGCGAUGCGGCUGGGGGUGGACUGGUUUUUGCGUUUGCGUUUGAGUUUGCCCUUGGUCUUGUUCCGGUUGUGGGAGAGAGUUGAUCAAAAAGUUGAUAAAACUAUUUUCAUGAAUGUAAGCCUACAAACGAAACCUAGGGGGGCGGAUAUCCCGGCUCUUUUUUUGAAAUCGACUUGCCUAGUUUUUCCAGCACCUUUCCUACCGGCAACUACGAUAUUCAUCUUCUCCGCCGCUCCCUUUUUCCUCGUCUUCCUUCUCGAAAUCACACUCGGCAUGCUCUCUCUCACUCCUCUCGUCCCCACCCCCAUUUCUGCGAACGUGCCUCCUCUAUCCCAAACCGCAUGGCUCAUCCUGAAAUCCCCAUCCUUCCACCCGCCAGAAAACGGGUUCACCACCUUGUUUGGCAUGAACGGUCUGUGAAACUGGACUUCGUUCCCGACGAAGGAUGGGGUUCGGUUUCGAGUUUGGAUCGUAUUCCCAAGUCCAAUCCCACUCGCUCUCGCGCUCGGACUCGUCAUGCACAAUCCUUGCUGGUCUUGGUGCUGUUGUUUUUGUUUCGGUGAACAACAAAGAACCAUACCAACCCCACCUCCUUUUGGAGUACGUUUAGAACUCGGAUCAGACUUGGAGUCGGGCGUAUGCACCGCAGGAAAAGUAAACGUAAACGGCGGCACUUCUUCCCAGGAUGAAGGGUCCAACAGCGGGGUCGUCAAGUCUGGUAACGACAGAGAGUGCCGGACGAUGGUGUUGUUAUGUGGGUUUUUGCGGAGUGGCUGCUGCUGUGCCGAGGAGGUCUGUCGUAGUUUUUUGCGGAGGAAAGAGGGGGGCAUUUUGAGGAUGAAUUGGAGGUUAGUGGGAAAAGAUGAUGAGUAGACGUUUCUUUAUUCUGAAUAUCGAUGCGAAGGGGGGAAUGAAAGGUACUUGCUUAAUUGCACACAGCAACACACGGCCCAAGCUCACUUCCGAUGGAAAUCAAACAACGCAUUAUCCAGCGCCUACCACCACUCAUGAAAUACGGGUUUUAUGCUUGUGACUUUGUAUUGAAAAUGACUAUCGCUCGUUUUCUGCAAAGGUUUGGAGCGAAAAAAAAAGAGGUUGAAGGGAAAGAAAGAACGAUUCGAAAGCAGGCGCGCUCAGCUUUUCACUCUCAAUCACUGUGCUUAUAUUUUCCACACGACAGUCUUCACAGCAUACACACAAACUGGCACCAUAUCAUAACAUUUCACUAGCAUCUCAUCUUCGUAUAGUGUAUAGUAAUGGUCCAUAUAUCUGAACCAGACAUCAAGACGUAGCCAAUCAUUCCAUCUCAUUCCUCGUAGUCAUGAUAAUCGUCCAUAUUAUUAUUCAGCGAUAAUGAUAAUAAAGAAGUCCAUCUCCCUAUAAACACAUUUCGUACCAGUGAUUAUCAGUCACCAUAUACAUGUCCGAUACGCACUGAAUAAU